rnacentral:lncRNA from 1 species
UUUAGCUACUUAUUUGACAUUUAAGUGUUGAAAAAUAUAGACAUCACAUAUAUAAUAAUGACAAUUACAUGUUAUUAUUUAUUAUUGUAAGAGCCCAUUUUUGCCUGGGCCCAUACCAGUAAAACAGACCCAAAUAACAAAAAAAUAAAUAUAAAAAAACCAAAUAAAAAUAAAAUAACAGUCUAUUAUAACAAAAUUUGGCCCAAUAAACAACUCAGCCCAAUCCUAAAGCUAAUACCCUAACCCAAUUUACACGGCCCGAUUCAAGUUGAAACCCUAGCCUUCAACUGUUUCUAGCUUCAGCCGCUGCCUUCCCUCAGCCUCACGUGCCCCACGAGCCACCCCUCCGAGCCACGUCACCCCAGCCACGCGCCUCCGUACACCGUACCUGCAAAGAGAACGGAGACAACACAGCACACAAAAGAACAAAAAAGGAAGAAAAGAAAGGAGAAUAAUAGCAAAAAAGAAAAAAGAACAGAAAAUAGGACGAUGUAUUUUUUCUUUGAUUUUUAUUUUCGGCUUUAAAAAGCCAUAAAACAGAAUUUGUAAGGGGGGAACAUUUUUUACAGAUCAGAAAUAAAAAAGGAAAACAAAGGUUGCCUUCUGGUUUUCUCCGAUUUAUUCAUUUUAUUUCUUUUAUUUUUCUUUUUAUUUUUAUUUUUUACGAAUCAAUUCUUCAAAAAAAAAAGGAAAAAGAAAAGCUUCUAAGGAGAAAGAGGGGCUUACCGGAGAUACCUCGCGAUCGCACCGUCGGUGGGUGGGUCUCCGUCGUUGGCCUAGAUCCGAAAGGGGGAUUGUGAGCCCCUGUCUCGGCGCUCAUGGGGGUUCAAAGACCCAACUUUCAAAUCACCUGGAGGCCGGGCUUUUAAAAACCUCUGGUUGCUCUUCGUUGGCCGCCGAUUCGGUGGCGCUGUGGCGAGUGAACGAACGCCGGCGGGAGCCCGACCGUCGAAAAACGCGGGGAGCCUUCAGAGAGCCUUCCCAUUUUUUGAAAAAGAAGAAAAAAUGAAAUUUCAGGAAAAAUUUAAUUUAAAUAAUAUAAACUAAACGGCGCCGUUUUAGCCCCCCAUGACCCGCGCGCAACCCGACCCGCUCCAGGGGGGAUCCGCGCGUUUUCAUGAAGUGGGAUAUUUUCGUCCUUCGUCCCUCCUCGUUAUAGAUUUGUUUUAAUUUAGUAAUUUUGCUUCUUUAUUUAUUUUUUAAUUUGGUCCCGAAAUUUUAUUUUGUUUUCAAUCAGGUCCCUGGCUCACUGACACGCCGGAAAGUGGACACGUGUCCAGGAAUUGGUUUAUUUCCCCUUUUGGUCCUUUUUAUUUCUGCGCGUUUCCAGUUUAAUCCUCUGUUCACUUUUAUAAUUUUAUCCGUUUAAUUUCGUCCUAGUUUUGAUUUAGUCCCUAAAUCAGUUUAGCUCAUUUAUUUAUUUCAACCUUUUUUUAUAUAUUAUUAUGUAUAUAUUAUCAUUCGUAUUGUUAUUAAAAUCUUCAUUUCACAUGUAUUAUUUAUUUAAAAUUUAUAUAUGUAAUUUAAUUUACUUCUUAUAUAAUAUUUACUUUAAAAUUUAUUUAGAUACUAUUAUUUUAUGUAGUUUUUUAAAAAACUCUAUUUUUUGAUUUAUUUCAAAUUCUCAUGUCUGUGUAUAUUAUUAUUUUUAUAACUUCUCGAUUACAAUUUCCUUUCUCCCAUGCUAAUCAUCUUUUCAAUUGUUUUAGGACUUGUGUAUUUAUUUGUGUUAAUUUGGUUAUUUUUUAAAUUAAUUUUUAAUUCAUUAGUUCUCAAUUGUUAGUGCUAGAAUUUACAUAAUGUGUGACAUAUGUUUUUAUUAUUACACAUUUUUGUGUUGCUUAUUUGUAUUUAUUAGUUCUUUAUCGCUCAUUAGCAUACAUUUUAGCUUAUGAAUUUUUUUUCUUUUGCGAUAUACAUUGUCAUCCCAUUGCGUUUUAUUCAUCAAAAAGAUUGUAUUUCUUUUAAAUAUUAAAAUCAUUUUAUUCAAAAGCUUUCAAGAUAAACGCGAUACUCGAAAUUUGGAAUCCUCGAGAGAAUCGAGCCCUAACGUAUUGGGUUCCAAUCUUCCUCGAUGAAUCUAAAUAAUCGAAAAUUCCCUUUUAAUUAAAACAUAAAUAAAAAGCUCAUUCUCAAGAAUUCGAUAUGUGGUGUCCUAACGCAUUGGAUAUGACAUAUUGUUCUCUCGAGACGAGGAUUUUUCUAAUAAAUGAAAAUAAAGACAAUAUUCGAUAUUUAGGAAUUUUGUGAAAUCGAGCCCUAACUUACUGGGUUUUGAUUUUCUCAUUUGACCCAAAUAGUCGGAUAUCCUUCUCAAAUGCAUAGAUUUUAAAAGUCAAAAAAAUAAACUUAAUUUUGAGGAUUUAAAAUGUUGCACUCUAACUUACCGAGUGUGACGAUUUAUUUCUUCGAAAUAAAUGAAUCUCAUCGUUCAAAUCAUUUUAUUCAAAAUAAAAGGAUCGUAUUUUAAAAUCUUUUCAAAAUUUCGACAUUAAGACAUUAAACAAUCGAUUCGGUACCAAUUUUGGGCGUUACGAGGAUGCUAACCCUUCCUCGUGCGUAACCGACUCCCGAACCUAUUUUUUCUCAAAAUUCGCAGACCUAAAAUUUAUUUUUCAGGGUGAUCCGAUCACACCUUCAAUAAAGGUCGGUGGCGACUCCAAUUUUCAUUUUUAAAGUCGACUACCAAAUUUUUUUUAUUUUUCAAAAAAAAAUGGUUAUGACAGCUUGGCGACUCCACUGGGUAACGCAUUUAGAGAGUCAAGCCGUAAAAUUGAUUUUUUUCUCUCUUAUUGUCGAAAACUAAAAAUUUGAUUUGAAAAAUUACGAUAUUUUCUUUGCGCUUGUUUGCAUGAUUAUUGUAAAUUGAGUUGUAUAUUUUGGCAUCAUAUUGCAUAAGACUGUUUAGUCUUGUCCUUUUAAGUGGGAGUGAGAAGCUACUCCUUCGUGAGGUUUUCACCUCCGUGCAGGAUAGUGAAUCACUUUCGGGAUACAUCCGUACCUAUAUCUUCGUGAGAUUUUCAUCUCCGUGCAACCAUAGGGAAAUGUAUUCCCCUGAACCGAACUCGGUCUGUAUGAGCCUAUAAUGGGUGAAGAUCGAGGAAUCUGCUGGUUUUGGUACCUUGACUUUAGAACCAAACCUCAUAUAGUGGUUUAGGAACUUAACCUAGGUAGAGCCACUCCAAAUCCCUAGUGGUUACCUGAUUAGGUACUUUCUAUUUUCCUUGUUUACUUCUGUUUUGUACUAACCCCUUUUGUUGUGUUUUGAUUGUGAUUGCAUUGCAUUUGCAUCUUAGGAAGGAGAUAUUGAUUCAGUCUCAAUUACUAAAUUAGAAAGUUUGUCAUGGAAUACAAAUUCCUUGAUAAAGUGGAAAACACUACGGUUGCCUCAAUAAAUUCUGAGAAACACAAGAAGAUCGAUGGAAGAGUUCGUGACCUUGCUUCGUGGCCUGAGGAUUCAAGAUGAUUUUCUAAGAGCCUUCAACGUUUCAAAGAAGCUGAAGAUGGGCAGAUGAUGGAUCGCGACCAAGAUCAAGAAAAGAAGCUAGUAGUGGCAUCUAUUGGAAAUUGGUGAGAUUAUCUCAAACAUGCGCAUGAAGAAAAGAUCGAUGGUCUCUUGGAAUAUAAGGGCGAAGCCGUACAUGCCUCUGCUUUAUGUAAAGGAAUUUGCUUUCUAGAACAGUUUCCUAAAUGUAAUUGAAUCAGAAUCAACGUCUCUUUAGGCAUGCAUUUCAUACAUCUGUAUCGUAUGCAUUAAAAUCCAUUGAAAGAGUCUAAACGAGUAAAUUUGUUUCAGCUAAUCUGGAAAACCAACUAACCAAACAUCCUUACGGUACUCGUUGCAAAACUAAGGAAAUGGAUCAAAGAUUAGAGAAAUUGGAGCAAAUGCAAAAGGAUAUGCAAGAUCAGCUACAGAAACAAAUGAAGGAGCAGUUGGAAAAAAUUCAAUAGGACAUGACAGAAAGGAUGCGGGAGUCUCAAAUGGACAUGAUGACUGAGCUGACGCAAUUACUAAAAGGAAUAAAUAAGGGAAGGGUCCUAUGGUUAAUGAUGAAGGAGAAGACAAGGAUAGACCUAUCUAUUCUCUAGGCUUUACGCCUCUGCAUGCGCAGAUUCAGACCGAGGCUGGAUCAGGUUCUAAUCCUAGAGAUAACCCAGUGAAUCUUGUUAUUCCUGAUUUCGAUGAAAUGGCUGAAAAAGAGAAGGCAAACGUCGAACUGUCAAAACAAUGGGAGGAUAGGUGUAAAUGGUUGGAGGAAAAAUUCAAAGCCUUGGAAAGCGCCGAUAGUCACCAUGGAAUUGAUGCGAAAGAUCUGAGCUUGGUUCUAGACUUAGUACUCCCUCACAAGUUUAAGAUGCCUAUAGUGGGACUAGCUACCCAGAAGCCCAUAUCACCAUGUUCUAUAGGAGAAUGACUGGGUAUACUAACAGUGAUCAGCUAUUAAUACAUUGUUUUCAGGAUAGCCUCAUUGGAGCUGCGUCGAAAUGGUACAAUCAAUUAAGCCGUACCGAGAUUGGUUCAUGGAGGAACCUAGCAUAGGCAUUCAUGAAACAAUACAGUCAUGUGACGGAUGUGGUUCCCGAUAGAAUCACUUUACAAAAUUUGGAAAAGAAAUCGAAUGAAAGCUUUAGACAGUAUACACAGAGGUGGAGGGAGGUUGCAGUCUAAGUUCAGCCACCCCUCUUGGAGAAAGAGACGACAAUGCUCUUCAUCAAUACACUGAAGACUCCGUUCAUUACGCAUAUGUUGGGAAGCGCAACAAAAAGCUUUUCUAACAUAGUUAUGAAUGGUGAAGUGAUUGAGAAUGUUAUAAGAGCCGGAAAAAUUGAGGCGGAAGAGGGUGAUAAGAGAUCAACCUCAAGGAGAAGAGAAAAUAAGGUGAACAACACAGGUUACUCAAGGUCAGCAAGUCAUCCAGGUAAAGGGGUCGCUAUUCAACAAGGUUCAUCAAGACAAGAACCUUAUGUGAAACAAGGCACUGAGAACCUCCAGUUCACGCCAAUUCUGAUGUCGUAUAAGGAGCUGUAUCAAAGCUUAUUCAACAUGCACAUUGUUGCCCCUCUCUACAUGAAACCUCCACAGCCUCCGUACCCCAAAUGGCACGAUGUGAAUGCAUAAUGCGAAUAUCAUGCGGGAUAUACGGGACAUUCCAUAGAAAAUUGCAUUGCCUUUAAAAAACUGAUUGAAAGGCUUAUCAGUAUGGGCGUCGUUAAAUUUGAUGAUUCCUCCAGUGCGGAAAAUCCAUUACCUAAUCAUAAUUGAUAAGUGAAGUGAAUGCAAUGCACAAGCAACUGAAGAAGGGACCUUGUUAGAUAUCUGCCCUUAUAAACGUGAAAGUGUUUUAAGCAAUUCGACUGCAGAAGAAAGCCCUGUAGUUUUUAGAACUUAUUUAGAGUAAUGUUCAGAACAUUUUGUUGUUUUUAGCCUAAAAAUGAUAGAAAUUUCCUUUGCAAAAUAGGCUCAUGUCUGAACGUUAUUAUUCUAUUGAAAUACAUCUUUGUGAUCACUUUUGAGCCAAUGUUCUUUCGUUCCUUUUGAAUAAUUAUUUUUUGAUUAUUUCAUUCUUUUGGAUUUUCUUCCACAUCAUUCAUUCAUUCAUAAUCAUAUUGUAUAAAUAGUUGUUCAUGAAUUUAUACAUUCUUUUGUAUAUUCUUGGUACUUAUUAUGGGCCCCCAGAUAUCAAUUACGUGAAUGACUCUGCUACAAACCAAGAUUUUCCUUUUGAGCGGGGCAUGUGUUUAGAGGAAUCUCAUGACUUUGAAAAUGACAAAGAUUGUAGCUUAUCUCCGGACUUGUUGAGGAUGGUUGAACAAGAGGAUAGAUAGAUCCUACCUCACAAGGAAUCAUCAGAAAUUGUGAGCUUGGUGAAGAUUAGAAUUGACCUGACCGCAAAGAUGAAGCAAGACCUUGUUCAAAGAUGUCUUUGUAGGAUCAUACCAGGAUAUGCCUAGGAUAAACGCUAAUAAAGAAAUCUGUACAACAGCGCGAUGUCAAAAUUUACAGUAUGAACGAUGUAAUUCUUUGCCGGGGCAAUGCCUUUCUCGUUGAGUCAGCAUAGCUUUGCCCAUUUGAAGCCGGGUUUCUAUCCCUUCAAGAUGUUUUCUGUCGUAGUUGCACCCCAAAAGGCUCUAUGAAAGAAAUGAAGGUUUUUCGCAUACAAGAUGAAAGUGAGAAAUCUUAUCUAUAAAAACAUUGAUUCUGAUCGAAAGGGUUCAGAUUCAAAAAAAAAUGAGAGAGAAAAAAAUCAAAAUCAAAAUCAAAACAAAAAAAUAAAAAAUAAAAAAAUCAAAGUCAAAAGCAAAAAAGAGAAAUCAAUUAAAGUCAAAAUAAAAAAUAUGAAAAAGAGAAAAAAGAAAAGAAAAGGAGAGGCCAAGGCGAAAACCUGUAAAAGGCGCUUUGUGACCAAAUGAGGUUUUGAGUUGAAAACCCAAAAAGGGCGACUCAAAUUUUGAGCAAAAUGGGGCAUGGCCGUCAUCAUCAUCGAAGGUUUCCCAUGAGAAUUGCUUCAUUUUUUAGAUCAUCAAAGGGAUAGAGGUUGCUUCAUGCGUCAAAGUCAUCAUAUGCAGAUAUAGAAUUCUAGAGAAAAUUAUAUUGGAGAAUGCAUUGAGCUUAAACAAUAGUACGAUAGCUGAGGUCUGAAAUCAACUCAGAAGCAGACACCACGAUUCGUCACCGAAUUGACUAGAGAUGAACAUCAAGAAAAUUGAAAAAUGACUGAGACUUGUAAAAUUACCAUUUGCCCUUCUUGCUUGCCGAACAUCUAUCAAGAUUUCUACCAGAGCAACGCUGUUCUCUUUGGCUUAUGGGGAUGAGGUAGUUUUACCCAUUGAAAUCCCCUCCCUCCGGGUAUUAGAGUUGGAAGGAUCCAAUCGCGAUGUGAUUAGUUGGACCUAGGAAAAGGGGUUAAAAUCUAUUCAUUAGGGUCGGAUGUACCAGAUGAUACGAGCUCAUAAUAAACAGGGUCAUCUCAGAGAAUUCCACGAAAGGGUGGAUGCCGAAAAAGUCCAUUCCUCAACAAAAGGAUUCUAGAAGGAAAUGAAUGCUAAGCCGGGGAUGUCCCUGUGCUGUAAAGAAGACUUUUUCAGAGGAGCAUUGAUCUUGAGCGAGACCGCCGAUCCUAUAAAUACGGAUCCAGUAAAGAAAUACUUCGUUUAAAGAAGAAGAGAGGACCAAUUUCAAAAAAAAAAGAUGAUGAAAAUGAAAAAUGAAAAAGUAAUGAUGGAGAGGCUAAGGGGAAAACCCGCAAAGGGCACCUUAGGCCAAAGAGGAUUUGAGUUGAAGACCCGAAAAGGGCGGCUCAAAUAUUGAUUAGAAUGGGGGCAUGAAGCGAUCAGAGCGAUUCGAAUUUUGAUCAUAUUGGGGCAUGUGCUGAUCUUGCUAUGCCUAAAUCAAUAGGAAAGGAUAGGCGACAUCUUGGGGCAUCGACAAAACACUGUAGAUCUCUUAAACACAAGUCAAACUCAGAAUGGUCUUCAGAAAGUUUGUACAAAGAAGUUCAAGCUGCGAUAUCUGGGGCACCCAAUUCUCAUAUUAUUUGUUGUUCUUGGAAUACCUUUUUCUUUUCCAAGAUAUUACAUUCCCAAUUAAUUCCUUUGUCAUCCUUCUUUACUAUUUUCGAUAAUUUAUUCUUUCGAGCUAUGCUCAGAACCAACUUUAUCCUUAUCCAUUGUUAUGACAUUUCUUUGCAAACAUGUUGUAUUGGAAUAAUGAUUAAUGGACUAAUAAAACUUUCACAAAGGAAGUUUUGCAUAUUACUUUGAAAAUUUUCUAAAUAAUAUAGGAGCCUGAAACAGGACUAUUGUUUAGAACACACCAAAUUUAAAGGUUGGAAAUUUGGGAAGGAAUAGUCUAAAUUUAGAGUUUCUCUUUGGAUUUUUGUUGUCGAAUGCGUUGAUUGACAAGACGCCAUGUUGGUGACAAAGCUUACAUAAACAAGCAAGCAAUGAUCACCAGCCAAUAAGAAGAGGUUACCUCAGAGAAGAGAGCCUUCAUUUGCGCAUGAGUCUUUAGUACGACAUCCUGAGAAUGGUGUAAGAAACCAGAAUGAUUCAGGUCCUAUAUCCUUGAAUUGUGAUAAGAGAGGAUUGAGGAAAAGCCACCUAUUUCUACCCUUGGAUUGCAGUGGGAGAAUGGUGGUACAAAUUUUGCGCCCCAAUGGAUUAAACUUUGAGGUCUACAGUGGGGGCAACCUGGCUAAAUGUUUCUUCAGAAAAUUCAGUCAAGCAAGAAGGCGUUAUAGCACGUCAGUCACAAAGCCUUAAUAAACUUCGAGUAAUAACAACCUAAGCGGGAUCGUUCUCGGAAAAAUAAAAUUCUGCAUUCAUGCAAACACCAUUCACACAUGUCUAGUCAGGAGCAUUUGAUUCAUUUUGAUCAUGCAAUCCUAAUCAUUAGGCAUAAUUAGGUUCAUUAUACAGGUCAUGUUCCCCAGAGAACAGAUCAGUGAAGAUUGAAAACAAAGCCUUGCCUCCACCGGUUGCAGUGGAGCUGGUUAAAGAUAGCAGAUAUUGCCUUCUUGCGUUAACAACGAAGCAGAUCGAAAACAAAGCCUUGCCUCCAUCGAUUGCAGUGGAGCUGGUUAAAGAUAGCAAAUCUUGCCUUCCUGCAUUGACAGCGAAGCAGAUCGAAAACAAAGCCUUGCCUCUAUCGGUUGCAGUGGAGUUGGUUAAAGAUAGCAGAUUUUGCCUUCCUACAUUAACAGCGAAGCAGAUAAAAAACAAAGCCUUGCCUCCAUCGGUUGCAGUGGAGCUGGUUGAAGAUAGCAGAUCUUGCCUUCCUGUGUUAACAGCGAAGCAAAUCGAAAACAAAGCCUUGCCUCCAUCGGUUGCAGUGGAGCUGGUUAAAGAUAGCAAAUCUUGCCCUCCUGCGUCGACAGUGAAGCAGAUCGAAGAUUACAAGUCCUAUAUCCCUGGCCAGCAGUGGAAUAGGUUGGAAAUUGCAGAUCUUGUCUCCCUAAGCAGUAGCGGAGCAGAUUGAAGCUAGUAAUCCUAUCUCCCUGAGAUUACAGUGGAGCGGAUUAAAAUAAAGGAUCUUAUCUCUCUGAGGUUACAGUAGAGUAGAUCGCAUUAGAUUGAAACCAGAAAUCUUAUCUCCUUGAGAUUACAGCGGAGCAGAUUGAAGCUAGUAAUCCUAUCUCCCUGAGAUUACAGUGGAGCGGAUUAAAAUAGAGGAUCUUAUCUCUUUGAAGUUACAGUAGAGUAGAUCACAUCAGGUCUUAUCUCCCUGAGAUCAUGGUGGAAUAGACCGAAGAAUUACAGAUCUUAUCUCCCAAACGAUGUAGUGGAACAAAUUAAAGCCACAUCGGUGAAUCUUGCUUCCCCGACAUUGCGGUUAAAAAGAUUAAAGCUACAGUAGUGAAUCUUACCUCCCAGGCAGUACAGUGGAACAGAUUAAAGCCACAACGGUAAAUCUUGCCUCCCUGACAUUGUAGUUAAAAAGAUUAAAGCCACAAUGGCGAACUUUACUUUCCAAAGUUACGAGUUACAAAUCCUAUCUCCCUGAUAUUAUAGUGGAGUGGAUCGAAGCACCAAUUCUUGUACCUCUGAAGAUGUAGUAGGAUGGAAUGAGGUAACUCGAAGAAGAAGAGCACCAAGGUCCAGCACGACCGGGCAAAAUUGGCCCUUUUCAAUCUUUGUUUCAUUCCCGUUACACGACAAUGAGCAAAGAGGGGCAGCUGUAAGAGCCCAUUUUUCCCCGGGCCCAUACCAGCAAAACAUACCCAAAUAACAAAAAAAUAAAUAUAAAAAAACCAAAUAAAAAUAAAGUAACAGUCUAUUAUAACAAAAUUUGGCCUAAUAAACAACUCAGCCUAAUCCUAAAGCUAAUACCCUAACCCAAUUUACACGGCCCGAUACAAGUUGAAACCCUAGCCUUCAACAGUUUCCAACUUCAGCCGCCACCUUCCCUAGGCCUCACGUGCCCCACAAGCCACGCCUCCGAGCCACGUCACCCCAGCCACGCGCCUCCGUACACCGUACCUGCAAAGGGAACGAAGACAAUGCAACACACAAAAGAACAAAAAAGGAAGAAAAAAAAAGGAGAAAAAUAGCAAACAAGAAAAAGAACAGAAAAUAGGACGAUGUAUUUUUUCUUUGAUUUUUAUUUUCGGCUUUAAAAAGCCAUUAAACAGAAUUUGUAAGGGGGAACAUAUUUUACAGAUCAGAAAUAAAAAAGGAAAACAAAGGUUGCCUUCUGGUUUUCUCCGAUUUAUUCAUUUUAUUUCUUUUAUUUUUCUUUUUAUUUUUUAC